GACGAACGCUGGCGGCGUGCUUAACACAUGCCAGUCGAACGGGCCUGUCUUCUUUUUUGGGGGUGGGUUGAGUGGCGAACGGGUGAGUAUCACGUGAGUAACCUGCCCUUCGGUCCUGGAUAACCGCUUGAAAGGGCGGCUAAUACGGGGUGGUCCGGUUGGUCCGCAUGGGCUGGUCGGGAUAGAUUCACUGUUUUUGGUGUUUCGGCGGGGGAUGGGCUCGCGGCCUAUCAGCUUGUUGGUGGGGUGAUGGCCUACCAAGGCGGUGACGGGUAGCCGGACUGAGAGGGUGGGCGGCCACACUGGGACGGAGAUACGGCCCGGACUCCUGCGGGAGGCAGCAGUGGGGGGUAUUGCACAAUGGGCGGAAGCCUGAUGCAGCGACGUCGCGUGAGGGAUGGAGGCCUUCGGGUUGUGAACCUCUGUUUCCGGUGGUGAAGGCCCUGUCCGUGUGGUGGGGUUGACGGUAGCCGGGGAUGAAGCGCCGGCUAACUACGUG
rnacentral:rRNA from 1 species